rnacentral:rRNA from 1 species
UACGGGGGGGGCAAGCGUUGUUCGGAAUUACUGGGCGUAAAGGGCUCGUAGGCGGCCAACUAAGUCAGACGUGAAAUCCCCAGGCUCAACCUGGGAACUGCGUCUUAUACUGGAUGGCUUGAAUUCGGGAGAGGGAUGCAGAAUUCCAGGUGUAGCGGUGAAAUGCGUAGAUAUCUGGAGGAAUACCGGUGGCGAAGGCGGCAUCCUGGACCGACAUUGACGCUGAGGAGCGAAAGCUAGGGGAGCAAACGGG